CUAAUUUUUAAUCCGUUAAAAAAAUCAAUCUAUAUCUCCAAUAAUCUGUCUUAGUAAGAUGAGAUGCUUAGUUAGUAAUCAAUCAUAUAAUGCAAUGCAAUCUAAUGAUGGUUGAGAGAUGAACAAAUAAACGCUUCUCAGAAGCCUGAUGAUCAGAUUGAGACACUGAUUUUUCCACAAAAUGACUGAAGUAAAGCCAAGCUGCUUCAUUUGGAAAUAUUACCAACAGUAUCAAAGAUAUUCUAACAUUUACUUUAUAAAAUCAGUAAAGAUUUGACAAAAAAAAGACAUGAAGCUCGAGCUGAAUGUGGACGUUUGCACAAUUAUACUAAACUCAAUUCUUACUGCUUUGGUUUUUACAUUAAACAUUUUGAAUCUGCAUGGAAUAAGUUUGGACUAAAGUCAAGUCAAACGGACCUUGAUAGGCCAGAAACAUCUUGGUGAAGGGAGGCAGCCGGACGAGGAAGUGCAGGACGGUGCCGCUGUUGGAGUAGUGAGAGCCGUAGUGAUAGGGCUGGACGGGGGGCAUGGGGUCGUUGAAGGAGCGGCCCGCGUGCUUGUUGAGGUGGGUGAGGUACUCGAAGUUGGUUAUCUGUCCUGAGCUCCACAGGUGCGUGAGAGCGGAGAUGUUCCCGUACUCCAGCAGGUUGGGCAGGCUCUGAGCUCAGGAUGUUGUGGUAGACGUCAUCGCGGAACUGAGACGGAGACCAGAGAGAGGAUCAACAGGAAGUUGGGCAGAAUUGACAUGGGAAUGACAGGAAGAGGAAUUUACUGAAUCGCACAUAAGAAGUCAUUCAGCAGCUAAUGCUCAUGUGUUUGACAGCGAUGUCGUUACCUUGGUGGUAUCAAACGCGAGCAGCAGCGUCCUGCCGUUGGUGAGGAAGAUCUCCAUAGCAUUGUCUCGGAGCUGCCACCAGCGCUUGUGUACCUCCUUUAUCUCCUCAUACGUCCAGGAGAAGGAGGCCGGCUCCGUCUCUCCAUGAGGACUCUGGUGUGAAGACACAUUAUCAACCUCUAAAACAUACAUAUGCCUCAUCAAAUCUAUUAGGGGUGGUAUGACCAAACUCUUAUAUCAUGUUAUGAGUAACUUCACAGUAGCAGAAAAAUAAAUAAAAUCACUGUUGAAGUGAAAAGGUUAUAGAAUAUCCACGUUAAACUGUUUUGAAACAGUUCACAGUAAGCAGGGGAAUUGGUAAAAGGUGAGGGUGUCAUGUUUGGGUAUAAAAGGAGAAUCUCAGUCUCAGAAGUACUUCAGAAAACCACUGUCACUUAACACAGUCUGCCGCUGCAUCAAUAAAUGCAUCCUGAAUCUCUGUUACUCGAGGAGAAAGCUAUACAUCUAUUCUAUGCAAUGAUGCCGCAGACUAACCCUAACGUUUAGCAAAAGAACUUACUUGGUUAUCAAAUGUCUCUGCAACAUUAUCCUCCACAAAGUACAUCCCAGAUUUCCUGCCGACCCAUAAAACAAGAUUUUAGCGUUCAGUGAAGACAAUUAACAGCCAGCACAAGACCGGUGUUAUGGAUGAGGACGAGUCUUACCCAGCAACAGCUCUCCUGCCGUCUCUCUAGAGGGCGCCACACUUACACACUUUCUUGUAAACCUAAACAGAAAGAAAAAAUGUUUUGGGUAUUUUAAUUCUUUGAAAUUCUGCAGUGUGAGUCUGAAAACAGACUAGUGUGCAGUGAGACGCGAGUUGUGUCAGUACCUGAUGGGCUCACUGGUGGCUUUGUCCUUCACUAUGGAUGAAGAGGAGUGAGUUUUGUCCUCAAACAGGAAUGCCAGAGGAGCCUUGAUGGCAUCUGUGACAAACAAACCACAUGCACGAGACCAAUAAAACCAACAGCAUCAAAAGUGUUAGAGUUUUUAAGUUCUGGUAAAGUUCUGGCUUUCCAGCAACCCCUUUCUGUACAGGCCGUACUGUGGUGCUAUCAUGGUACAAUGAUGGUAUCAGAUGGUAACACUGUAUGAUUAAAUAGUCAUAAACCAUUCUGAUUAAACAGCACUCCAACGUAUUUAAAAGAAUCCCAUGGUAUUACAGGUUUUGGUACUUUUGUGUUACUGUCAUAUG
rnacentral:lncRNA from 1 species